rnacentral:rRNA from 1 species
AGCGAACGCUGGCGGCAGGCCUAAUACAUGCAAGUCGAACGGCUCUUCGGAGCAGUGGCGGACGGGUGAGUAACGCGUGGGAACGUGCCCUUUGGUUCGGAACAACACAGGGAAACUUGUGCUAAUACCGAAUGUGCCCUUCGGGGGAAAGAUUUAUCGCCAUUGGAGCGGCCCGCGUUGGGUUAGCUAGUUGGUGGGGUAAUGGCCCACCAAGGCUACGAUCCAUAGCUGGUCUGAGAGGAUGAUCAGCCACACUGGGACUGAGAACACGGCCCAGACUCCUACGGGAGGCAGCAGUAGGGAAUCUUGCGCAAUGGGCGAAAGCCUGACGCAGCCAUGCCGCGUGAAUGAUGAAGGUCUUAGGAUUGUAAAAUUCUUUCACCGGGGAAGAUAAUGACGGUACCCGGAGAAGAAGCCCCGGCUAACUUCGUGCCAGCCGCCGCCGUAA